rnacentral:rRNA from 1 species
UACGUAGGGUGCAAGCGUUGUCCGGAAUCAUUGGGCGUAAAGAGCGUGUAGGCGGCCAGAUAAGUCCGCUGUGAAAUCUCGAGGCUCAACUUCGAGCUGUCGGUGGAAACUGUCUGGCUAGAGUCCGGAAGAGGAGAAUGGAAUUCCUGGUGUAGCGGUGAAAUGCGCAGAUAUCAGGAGGAACACCAAUAGCGAAGGCAGCUCGCUGGGACGGUACUGACGCUAAGGCGCGAAAGCGUGGGGAGCGAACAGG